CGCUUAGGCGUGUGACUGCGUACCUUUUGUAUAAUGGGUCAGCGACUUAUAUUCUGUAGCAAGGUUAACCGAAUAGGGGAGCCGAAGGGAAACCGAGUCUUAACUGGGCGUUAAGUUGCAGGGUAUAGACCCGAAACCCGGUGAUCUAGCCAUGGGCAGGUUGAAGGUUGGGUAACACUAACUGGAGGACCGAACCGACUAAUGUUGAAAAAUUAGCGGAUGACUUGUGGCUGGGGGUGAAAGGCCAAUCAAACCGGGAGAUAGCUGGUUCUCCCCGAAAGCUAUUUAGGUAGCGCCUCGUGAAUUCAUCUCCGGGGGUAGAGCACUGUUUCGGCAAGGGGGUCAUCCCGACUUACCAACCCGAUGCAAACUGCGAAUACCGGAGAAUGUUAUCACGGGAGACACACGGCGGGUGCUAACGUCCGUCGUGAAGAGGGAAACAACCCAGACCGCCAGCUAAGGUCCCAAAGUCAUGGUUAAGUGGGAAACGAUGUGGGAAGGCCCAGACAGCCAGGAUGUUGGCUUAGAAGCAGCCAUCAUUUAAAGAAAGCGUAAUAGCUCACUGGUCGAGUCGGCCUGCGCGGAAGAUGUAACGGGGCUAAACCAUGCACCGAAGCUGCGGCAGCGACACUAUGUGUUGUUGGGUAGGGGAGCGUUCUGUAAGCCUGUGAAGGUGUACUGUGAGGUAUGCUGGAGGUAUCAGAAGUGCGAAUGCUGACAUAAGUAACGAUAAAGCGGGUGAAAAGCCCGCUCGCCGGAAGACCAAGGGUUCCUGUCCAACGUUAAUCGGGGCAGGGUGAGUCGACCCCUAAGGCGAGGCCGAAAGGCGUAGUCGAUGGGAAACAGGUUAAUAUUCCUGUACUUGGUGUUACUGCGAAGGGGGGACGGAGAAGGCUAUGUUGGCCGGGCGACGGUUGUCCCGGUUUAAGCGUGUAGGCUGGUUUUCCAGGCAAAUCCGGAAAAUCAAGGCUGAGGCGUGAUGACGAG
rnacentral:rRNA from 1 species